rnacentral:misc_RNA from 1 species
GAUGAAGAACGUAGUGAAAUGCGAUAAGUAAUGUGAAUUGCAGAAUUCAGUGAAUCAUCGAAUCUUUGAACGCACAUUGCGCCCGCCAGUAUUCUGGCGGGCAUGCCUGUCCGAGCGUCAUUUCAACCAUCAAGCCCCGGGCUUGUGUUGGGGACCUGCGUCCGACGCAGGCCCUGAAAACCAGUGGCGGGCUCGCUGUCCACACCGAGCGUAGUAACUAACCUCGCUAUGGAGUGNCGCGGGCGCCUGCCGUAAAACCCCCAAUUUCACAAGGUUGACCUCGGAUCAGGUAGGAAUACCCGCUGAACUUAAGCAUAUCAAUAAGCGGAGGA